rnacentral:rRNA from 1 species
AUAAGCGUACACGGUGGAUGCCCUGGCAGUCAGAGGCGAUGAAGGACGUGCUAAUCUGCGAUAAGCGUCGGUAAGGUGAUAUGAACCGUUAUAACCGGCGAUUUCCGAAUGGGGAAACCCAGUGUGAUUCGUCACACUAUCAUUAACUGAAUCCAUAGGUUAAUGAGGCGAACCGGGGGAACUGAAACAUCUAAGUACCCCGAGGAAAAGAAAUCAACCGAGAUUCCCCCAGUAGCGGCGAGCGAACGGGGAGGAGCCCAGAGCCUGAAUCAGUGUGUGUGUUAGUGGAAGCGUCUGGAAAGGCGCGCGAUACAGGGUGACAGCCCCGUACACAAAAAUGCACAUGCUGUGAGCUCGAUGAGUAGGGCGGGACACGUGGUAUCCUGUCUGAAUAUGGGGGGACCAUCCUCCAAGGCUAAAUACUCCUGACUGACCGAUAGUGAACCAGUACCGUGAGGGAAAGGCGAAAAGAACCCCGGCGAGGGGAGUGAAAAAGAACCUGAAACCGUGUACGUACAAGCAGUGGGAGCACAGAGCAAUCUGUGUGACUGCGUACCUUUUGUAUAAUGGGUCAGCGACUUAUAUUCUGUAGCAAGGUUAACCGAAUAGGGGAGCCGAAGGGAAACCGAGUCUUAACUGGGCGUUAAGUUGCAGGGUAUAGACCCGAAACCCGGUGAUCUAGCCAUGGGCAGGUUGAAGGUUGGGUAACACUAACUGGAGGACCGAACCGACUAAUGUUGAAAAAUUAGCGGAUGACUUGUGGCUGGGGGUGAAAGGCCAAUCAAACCGGGAGAUAGCUGGUUCUCCCCGAAAGCUAUUUAGGUAGCGCCUCGUGAAUUCAUCUCCGGGGGUAGAGCACUGUUUCGGCAAGGGGGUCAUCCCGACUUACCAACCCGAUGCAAACUGCGAAUACCGGAGAAUGUUAUCACGGGAGACACACGGCGGGUGCUAACGUCCGUCGUGAAGAGGGAAACAACCCAGACCGCCAGCUAAGGUCCCAAAGUCAUGGUUAAGUGGGAAACGAUGUGGGAAGGCCCAGACAGCCAGGAUGUUGGCUUAGAAGCAGCCAUCAUUUAAAGAAAGCGUAAUAGCUCACUGGUCGAGUCGGCCUGCGCGGAAGAUGUAACGGGGCUAAACCAUGCACCGAAGCUGCGGCAGCGACGCUGAUGCGUUGUUGGGUAGGGGAGCGUUCUGUAAGCCUGUGAAGGUGUGCUGUGAGGCAUGCUGGAGGUAUCAGAAGUGCGAAUGCUGACAUAAGUAACGAUAAAGCGGGUGAAAAGCCCGCUCGCCGGAAGACCAAGGGUUCCUGUCCAACGUUAAUCGGGGCAGGGUGAGUCGACCCCUAAGGCGAGGCCGAAAGGCGUAGUCGAUGGGAAACAGGUUAAUAUUCCUGUACUUGGUGUUACUGCGAAGGGGGGACGGAGAAGGCUAUGUUGGCCGGGCGACGGUUGUCCCGGUUUAAGCGUGUAGGCUGGUUUUCCAGGCAAAUCCGGAAAACUAAGGCUGAGGCGUGAUGACGAGGCACUACGGUGCUGAAGCAACAAAUGCCCUGCUUCCAGGAAAAGCCUCUAAGCAUCAGGUAACAUCAAAUCGUACCCCAAACCGACACAGGUGGUCAGGUAGAGAAUACCAAGGCGCUUGAGAGAACUCGGGUGAAGGAACUAGGCAAAAUGGUGCCGUAACUUCGGGAGAAGGCACGCUGAUAUGUAGGUGAAGUCCCUCGCGGAUGGAGCUGAAAUCAGUCGAAGAUACCAGCUGGCUGCAACUGUUUAUUAAAAACACAGCACUGUGCAAACACGAAAGUGGACGUAUACGGUGUGACGCCUGCCCGGUGCCGGAAGGUUAAUUGAUGGGGUCAGCGCAAGCGAAGCUCUUGAUCGAAGCCCCGGUAAACGGCGGCCGUAACUAUAACGGUCCUAAGGUAGCGAAAUUCCUUGUCGGGUAAGUUCCGACCUGCACGAAUGGCGUAAUGAUGGCCAGGCUGUCUCCACCCGAGACUCAGUGAAAUUGAACUCGCUGUGAAGAUGCAGUGUACCCGCGGCAAGACGGAAAGACCCCGUGAACCUUUACUAUAGCUUGACACUGAACAUUGAGCCUUGAUGUGUAGGAUAGGUGGGAGGCUUUGAAGUGUGGACGCCAGUCUGCAUGGAGCCGACCUUGAAAUACCACCCUUUAAUGUUUGAUGUUCUAACGUUGACCCGUAAUCCGGGUUGCGGACAGUGUCUGGUGGGUAGUUUGACUGGGGCGGUCUCCUCCUAAAGAGUAACGGAGGAGCACGAAGGUUGGCUAAUCCUGGUCGGACAUCAGGAGGUUAGUGCAAUGGCAUAAGCCAGCUUGACUGCGAGCGUGACGGCGCGAGCAGGUGCGAAAGCAGGUCAUAGUGAUCCGGUGGUUCUGAAUGGAAGGGCCAUCGCUCAACGGAUAAAAGGUACUCCGGGGAUAACAGGCUGAUACCGCCCAAGAGUUCAUAUCGACGGCGGUGUUUGGCACCUCGAUGUCGGCUCAUCACAUCCUGGGGCUGAAGUAGGUCCCAAGGGUAUGGCUGUUCGCCAUUUAAAGUGGUACGCGAGCUGGGUUUAGAACGUCGUGAGACAGUUCGGUCCCUAUCUGCCGUGGGCGCUGGAGAACUGAGGGGGCUGCUCCUAGUACGAGAGGACCGGAGUGGACGCAUCACUGGUGUUCGGGUUGUCAUGCCAAUGGCACUGCCCGGUAGCUAAAUGCGGAAGAGAUAAGUGCUGAAAGCAUCUAAGCACGAAACUUGCCCCGAGAUGAGUUCUCCCUGACUCCUUGAGAGUCCUGAAGGAACGUUGAAGACGACGACGUUGAUAGGCCGGGUGUGUAAGCGCAGCGAUGCGUUGAGCUAACCGGUACUAAUGAACCGUGAGGCUUAACC